AUUGAACGCUGGCGGCAGGCUUAACACAUGCAAGUCGAGCGAGAGGCGGAGGGGUGAGUAGUGUCGGGGAAACUGCGUGAUGGAGGGAGAUAACUAGUGGAAACGGUAGCUACUACCGCAUACCAUCAGAUGUGCCCAGGUGGGAUUCGCUAGUGGGUGGGGUCAAGGAUCACCUAGGCGACGAUCCCUAGCUGGUCUGAGAGGAUGACCAGCCACACUGGAACUGAGACACGGGCCAGACUCCUACGGGAGGCAGCAGUGGGGAAUAUUGCACAAUGGGCGCAAGCCUGAUGCAGCCAUGCCGCGUGUGUGAAGAAGGCCUUCGGGUUGUAAAGCACUUUCAGCGAGGAGGCGUUACCCGCAGAAGAAGCACCGGCUAACUCCGUGCCAGCCGCCGCGGUAAUAC
rnacentral:rRNA from 1 species